GAUGAAGAACGCAGCGAAAUGCGAUACUUGGUGUGAAUUGCAGAAUCCCGUGAACCAUCGAGUCUUUGAACGCAAGUUGCGCCCGAAGCCAUUAGGCCGAGGGCACGCCUGCCUGGGCGUCACACGUCGUUGCCCCCCCAUCUACUCCUUCGGGAUUGCGGGGGGCGGAUGAUGGCCUCCCGUGCGCCUCGUCGCGCGGUUGGCAUAAAUGCCAAGUCCUCGGCGACGCACGCCACGACAAUCGGUGGUUGCGAAACCUCGGUUGCCCGUCGUGUGCGGUCGUCGCGCAUCGAGGGCUCGAAAAGAUUGCCGGGCUCCGGCUCGGCUUUCAACGCGACCCCAGGUCAGGCGGGGUUACCCGCUGAAUUUAAGCAUAUCAAUAAGCGGAGGA
rnacentral:misc_RNA from 1 species